AACGAACGCUGGCGGCAGGCCUAACACAUGCAAGUCGAACGAGAAGCUUUCCUUCGGGGAAGUGGAUAGUGGCAGACGGGUGAGCAACGCGUGGGAACGUGCCUUUCGGUUCGGAAUAACUCAGGGAAACUUGGGCUAAUACCGAAUACGCCCUCCGGGGGAAAGGAUUUAUCGCCGAAAGAUCGGCCCGCGUCGGAUUAGCUUGUUGGUGAGGUAAAAGCUCACCAAGGCGACGAUCCGUAGCUGGUCUGAGAGGAUGAUCAGCCACACUGGGACUGAGACACGGCCCAGACUCCUACGGGAGGCAGCAGUGGGGAAUAUUGGACAAUGGGCGCAAGCCUGAUCCAGCCAUGCCGCGUGGGUGAAGAGGCCCUAGGGUUGUAACCCCUUUCACGCGGGGAAGAGUAAUGACGGUA
rnacentral:rRNA from 1 species